rnacentral:misc_RNA from 1 species
UGGUUCUGGCAUCGAUGAAGAACGCAGCGAAAUGCGAUAAGUAGUGUGAAUUGCAGAAUUCAGUGAAUCAUCGAAUCUUUGAACGCACAUUGCGCCCCUUGGUAUUCCAUGGGGCAUGCCUGUUCGAGCGUCAUUUGUACAUUCAAGCUUUGCUUGGUGUUGGGUGUUUGUCCUGCCAUUGCGUGUGGACUCGCCUUAAAGUAAUUGGCAGCCUGGUAAUUCGGCUUUGAGCGCAGCACAUUGCGUACUCUCGGCUGGUGCUUUGGCAUCCAAAAGACCAUUUUUUCAAGCUUGACCUCGGAUCAGGUAGGGAUACCCGCUGA